rnacentral:rRNA from 1 species
GUGGGUAGUUUGACUGGGGCGGUCUCCUCCCAAAGCGUAACGGAGGAGCACGAAGGUUAGCUAAUCCUGGUCGGACAUCAGGAGGUUAGUGCAAUGGCAUAAGCUAGCUUGACUGCGAGCGUGACGGCGCGAGCAGGUGCGAAAGCAGGUCAUAGUGAUCCGGUGGUUCUGAAUGGAAGGGCCAUCGCUCAACGGAUAAAAGGUACUCCGGGGAUAACAGGCUGAUACCGCCCAAGAGUUCAUAUCGACGGCGGUGUUUGGCACCUCGAUGUCGGCUCAUCACAUCCUGGGGCUGAAGUAGGUCCCAAGGGUAUGGCUGUUCGCCAUUUAAAGUGGUACGCGAGCUGGGUUUAGAACGUCGUGAGACAGUUCGGUCCCUAUCUGCCGUGGGCGCUGGAGAAUUGAGGGGGGCUGCUCCUAGUACGAGAGGACCGGAGUGGACGCAUCACUGGUGUUCGGGUUGUCAUGCCAAUGGCACUGCCCGGUAGCUAAAUGCGGAAGAGAU